rnacentral:lncRNA from 1 species
GCUUCCUAUACCAGGGCUAAAUUCACAGAAAAAUGUGCUGUUACAAUAUGUGCCUUGUAAAGAUAUUGCUGCCUAGCAAAAUCCCUCCAUAGCACCAUGGGAUGAGGGUACCAUGCACACCUGCGGAGGAUAGCCUUCGUACUGUGUAAAGAAUGGAAAUGGUUUUGAGGCAUGUGGAGAAUGCAGCCGAAAUCACCUAAUGCAGCUGAAUCACCCUCCAACUAUAUUUUAGCAAACAAGCAUGUAUUUUGAGACAUGAUUUUAAUUUGUAGGAAUCAGUUUCUGUGAGAGGCACUUGCUCCAUCUGUGACCUAGCCUCUCUGUGUCUGGCUAGAAGAACUUCCAGUGGUACCCUUCUCCUUUGUCAAAGGGCAAUUUGGAGGAAGCAAAAGCAUCCCUAUUCCUUUGCAAGCUUUGAAGCAUUAAAUAAUUACCGUAGCUAAUGUCAAAAAUUUACCAGCCAAUAAAACCACUGACUGUUGCAGAUCAGACAGUCUGGCCUGCUUUUUUCUUAAGCUGAGGUAAGUACCAUUGGUAGAAUUUCUUAUAUUUAUGUAUUUUCAUGUGGAGGUUCUAUGCUGCCAUGUCAGCAAGACUUUCUUAAAGUAAGCC